CAACUUUCCUUCCAAGGAGCAAGUGUCUGUUAAUUUCACAGCUGCAGUCACCAUCCACGGUGAUUUUGGAGCCCAACAAAUGAUGACUUGUCUUCAAGCUUUCUCCCAGUGUGCUCUCUGAUCUCUCUGGCAGGAUGGGAGAAGAGAUCCAGAAAUCAGAGCUACUGCAGUGCCCACCCGCAUCCUCCAUUUCCUCAGAAUUGUGUGCAGAGAGGGCCCAGUGCUGUUCCCUGAGGUAGUCCAGCUUCAGCUUGAGUCAGCUUCCCCCACCCGCCUGGUGUCCCUGCCCCUUUACCUGCAUGGCCAGAGGGACCUGGUCCUUCCGAACCCUGAACUUUUCAAGCCUUUGAGAUCAACAGUGAUGCACAGUUACUGUUUGCUCGGUCUGCCAUCCAGAGUAGAAAUACCAGGGGUUGCUUUAUUUCCUUUCCUCUUCAUCUUUGUGGAUUUUAUACCUUGAAGAAAACCAAACAAAACCUUUAUGGUGGUUUUUACUGCUGCUUCACAAUGAAACCAAUUUAAAUAGAUACUAUUAUUACCCAGAAGUCCCCAUUUGCUGUUUUUAUCAAUAAAGGGCCCAAACUCAUUCUUU